UACGUAGGUGGCAAGCGUUGUCCGGAUUUACUGGGCGUAAAGAGCGCGCAGGCGGUCGUUCAAGUCGCGUGUGAAAGCCCCCCGGCUCAACUGGGGAGGGUCACGCGAUACUGAUCGACUCGAAGGCAGGAGAGGGAAGUGGAAUUCCCCGGUGUAGAGGUGAAAUUCGUAGAUAUCGGGAGGAACACCGGUGGCGAAGGCGGCGACCUGGGUCGAGACUGACGCUGAGGCGCGAAAGCGUGGGGAGCAAACAGG
rnacentral:rRNA from 1 species